GUCACACUCCAGCAGUAGAAGCCCUGCAUGCAGAGACCAGGUUUUGAACAUCUCUGGUCGCAGUUUCAGCUAUGGCAUCCAGCACCACAGCUUUGACCUUUGGCUUUGACCCUCUUGCAUGGACCUCUCUCCAGAAAAUGUUGAGAUAAUUUUUAGAACAGGCUCUAAAAAUAGUGUGUGAGGACACCUGCCAGACCAUCAGGAAGGAAUCCAGACUCAGACCAACAAUGGUGAUGGAGACGGAUUGGAUUCAGCACCUGGAGCUCGAUGGCUGCCAUGGGACAAAAGACUCAGUGGCUGCACCAUACUACAUUCUCACCAUCAAUGCCCGAGAAUCUAUUUCUUCACAUCCUCACCAACA